ACAGUGGAUACACCAGCUCUCAACUUAGACCAGACAACAUAGCUACAAAGACUUUUAGAUGAGGAUUAUUUUGAAUUUACCAUCUUAACGGAGCACAGGUCUUGUGCUGGAAGAUACAGCUAUUCCAUCAGUCGACAUCCCACUGAGAGCGUACAUUGCCACAUCACAAAGGCCACGGUGUGUAAAGCUGUCAGAAUGGCGACCCUUGCCCUCAAGCAGCUGCUGCUCACAAUGGUGGUGUUCCCUGGAUACAAACCUCUUAGGAACAUAAAAAAAGGAAUUCUACAGGAUUGCAGGAGGGACUGUGAGACUAUCUGAGAGAAGGUGAGCAGGUCGAUGCUCCUUCCAAUAACAUUGCUGUAAAAUGGACGGCCAUUUAGAAGAGCGCUGUGGAUAGACCAUGCAGAGACGGGCCACCACCUCUUCUUUGACCUGAUUGAGAUACCUGUAGGUUGUCAAGGUCUACACCACCCAUGUACUCACUAUUGGCUGAUGCAUUUUGGUUGUUGGAUGUUGUCAAAGGCACAUUGAUGUCUGUACCAUCUCUUGACAUAGGUUGACAAUGGUAUUGUCUUUCCAACAAAGGUUCCCCUGGGUACCUCCAGUGGUUUGAAUGGGACAUCAAACAGGUGGUUCUGCCGAAUGGUUCCAGGCCUCCCAUAUCCUAUUUUUUUCAUUUCAUCCAUGAGGUUGAUGAGUGGUAAAGAGGUUGUCAUAGAAGAACUUGGAACCUUGAGGCACCUGAGCUUGCUCUACCACAUAUAUGAUAAUGCUGGGUUGCUGACCCAAGCCUCUCUCUGGGGGGAGAGUGUGCAGCUCCAAGUAGUACGUGUAUUCAUUGGAUCAGGUGACGCUCCAUACCUUGUAACCAAAGCGAUUGGUUUCCCUUUGAUUAUUGGUUUACAUCCAUCUCGGCCAUAGUACGGUAUGGUGUUCUCAUCCACUGACAGCCAUUCCUGUAAUGGCAUAAUUUUGCAUGAGUGAUUAAGCUCAUUGAAGA